rnacentral:rRNA from 1 species
GACGAACGCUGGCGGCGUGCCUAAUACAUGCAAGUUGAGCGAUGAAGAUUGGUGCUUGCCCCAAUUUGAAGAGCAGCGAACGGGUGAGUAACGCGUGGGGAAUCUGCCUUUGAGCGGGGGACAACAUUUGGAAACGAAUGCUAAUACCGCAUAACAACUUUAAACAUAAGUUUUAAGUUUGAAAGAUGCACUUGCAUCACUCAAAGAUGAUCCCGCGUUGUAUUAGCUAGUUGGUGAGGUAAAGGCUCACCAAGGCGAUGAUACAUAGCCGACCUGAGAGGGUGAUCGGCCACAUUGGGACUGAGACACGGCCCAAACUCCUACGGGAGGCAGCAGUAGGGAAUCUUCGGCAAUGGACGAAAGUCUGACCGAGCAACGCCGCGUGAGUGAAGAAGGUUUUCGGAUCGUAAAACUCUGUUGGUAGAGAAGAACGUUGGGGAGAGUGGAAAGCUCAUAAAGUGACGGUAACUACCCAGAAAGGGACGGCUAACUACGUG